rnacentral:lncRNA from 1 species
CCCGGAUAAGGUUUUUCCCCAGGUUGUCAUAGACCAGGUCAAUCCCGAGCCUUUCCCCUGGAUUGUACAGACAGUCCAGAGCCAUCUGCAGGGGACUGUCCGCCUCAUCAGCCGCGCACUCCAAGCGCCUCUUCAGGAUCUUCAGGCUGUUGGAUUCUGCCAUAAGCAUGUCCCGCUCGUGGCACAACCCAGACUUCCAGAAGCGGAUGUCCGAUAGCCUCUGGCCCAGGUUCCGGGAGGUUCCCUCUUGCAUCUGGCGUAUCAGCUGGUCCUUGUCGUGUAUGAUCCGUAGGGAGUCGUCUGUCAUCCGGCUGGCCCGGAGCCGCGAUGCCUCUGCCACACUGAUCAGCAGAUCAUUGGAGCGGUCCCACUCGCGUUGGGUAUAGCGAUUGGAGAACGGGGAGCGGAGCGAGGGCAGGGUGG